UACGUAGGGGGCAAGCGUUGUCCGGAUUUAUUGGGCGUAAAGAGCGUGUAGGCGGUUAUACAGGUCCGCUGUGAAAACUGGAGGCUUAACCUCCAGACGUCGGUGGAAACCGUAUGACUAGAGUCCGGAAGAGGAGAGUGGAAUUCCUGGUGUAGCGGUGAAAUGCGCAGAUAUCGGGAAGAACACCCGUGGCGAAGGCGGCUCUCUGGGACGGUACUGACGCUGAGACGCGAAAGCGUGGGGAGCGAACAGG
rnacentral:rRNA from 1 species